rnacentral:tRNA from 1 species
UGGCUUAGUGGUUAAGCACUCAGCUGCUAACUGAAAGGUUGGUGGUUCGAACCCACC